CUUAGUUUGAUGCGCUAGAGAAUGCUUGUAUGGACAGGGCACAAACCAAACAUAACAUAGCUUCAAUGUAUCAUGCUGCCUUAGUAGGUCCAUAUAUACUUAUCCAAAUGGCAUAGAGACUCAUUAUGAAAAUAUGGUAUAGAAACUUGGAGUGGUAUGUGACAUCAACAAAAUUAAUAAAUCCGACAUAUACUUUUUCGAUAUUCUAAAACAUACAAGUAAAUUCCGAUUUUUACAUCAGAAUAUUGUGAUGACUUGGCAUUUGGAUCAUU
rnacentral:lncRNA from 1 species